ensembl:lncRNA
AAACAAAACUGAUGGGCCCGAGGUUGCUGCGUGGGUUUCUAGUUUGUGCACUGCACGAUGGGCCUGGCCAGGCAGGGGGUCAAGCCCUUCCGUCUGUGGACCUUUUCCCAAGUUCUCUCUUCUUGAACGAUGGAGAAGGAAAUGGCAACCCACUCCGGUAUUCUUGCCUGGAGAGGCCUACGGAUAGAGGAGCCUGGUGGGCUGCUGUCCAUAGGGUCACACAGAGUCGGGCAUGACUGAGCAACUUCACUUUCACUUUUCACUCUCAUGCAUUGGAGAGGAAAUGGCAACCCACUCCAGUGUUCUUGCCUGGAGAAUCCCAGCCUGGUGAGCUGCUGUCUAUGGGAUCGCACAGAGUCGGACACAACUGAAGCGACUUAGGAGCAGCAGCAGCUUCUUGAAAGAUGCCCUUCAGUGCUUCAUUCCUGCUUCAACUAAGUUCUGCUGGUACUUCAGUUUCCACUUGCAAGGGCCUUUGGAAGCCUUUCCCGACCUCAAGAUUAAAGUCCUCCUCUCCCUGUACCCUAGCAGGGUAGUAGCUUGCUGUACAGCAACUGCUUGUUAACUUCUCGAUCUCCUCCAUCGCCUGAAAGCUCUUAGAGGACAGGAUUCAUGUACAGUGCAUUGUAUUCCCAGGAGUUAGGAGGGUCUAAUCCUUAUUAGCUACGUACAAAACAUCUGUUGAACAAACGGUUGCAAAUGAAUAGUAACUUAAAGAAAGGCUACAUUUCUGAGGUAAUGCUAAUUGCUUGUAGGAUAGUUAAAUGUCAGUAUUGAAACCUAAUCUUUAGCUGCUGUCUUGCAGAUAAAACGGAUGUUCACCAAGUAUGUAUUUUGUAUUUUGUUGCACUGUACACCCCAA